rnacentral:misc_RNA from 1 species
AAAAAAAAAAACAAAAAAAAAGGGUUGUCCAGGGGUGUUGAAUACCUGUUAGGAGGCAACACAGUCACAAUGUGACCCUUCCAAUCUGAAUGCACGGACAAAGCAGCUGCGAGUUAGUGUUCCUACUUCCUAUGGUCUAUGCAUAAAGUAACAGUAAUAAAAAUAUGCCACAAAUGUGUAUUCCAACAACCAUUCCUCCUCUGAUCUAGAGUAGAUGGUUAAGCUUCAGUUCGGAUAAUUCUCAGUCAAUGCGCUCCCUUGGGUAAACCAAACCUAGAGAUCCCGAGCUUCACUUGUUUAGCCAGUGUGUUGCCUAAAUAAUCAGAAGGAAAAGAAGAGAAGACAGCCCCUCUUGCGAUAUUUAACAGAGUUGCCUUUCACAGCCAUCCAACUCCAAGCAAAAUGGAGCAUAUAUAUAUGUGUGUGUGGGUUUCUAUCAUAACUUUGACUUUUACAAAAUGAAAUUUACUACGUCCAAAAAUAACCUUAGAUGAAUUGAUAAAGUCCAAUGAAUCUAACAAAAAAAAA